AGUGAACGCUGGCGGUAGGCCUAACACAUGCAAGUCGAACGGCAGCACAGUAAGAUCUUGCUCUUACGGGUGGCGAGUGGCGGACGUGUGAGGAAUACAUCGGAAUCUACUUUUUCGUGGGGGAUAACGUAGGGAAACUUACGCUAAUACCGCAUACGACCUACGGGUGAAAGCAGGGGAGCUUCGGACCUUUCGCGAUUGAAUGAGCCGAUGUCGGAUUUGCUAGUUGGCGGGGUAAAGGCCCACCAAGUCGACGAUCCGUAGCUGGUCUGAGAGGAUGAUCAGCCACACUGGAACUGAGACACGGUCCAGACUCCUACGGGAGGCAGCAGUGGGGAAUAUUGGACAAUGGGCGCAAGCCUGAUCCAGCCAUCCCGCGUGGGUGAAGAAGGCCUUCGGGUUGUAAAGCCCUUUUGUUGGGAAAGAAAAGCAGCAGGUUAAUACCCAGCUGUUCUGACGGUACCAAAAGAAUAAGCACCGGCUAACUUCGCG
rnacentral:rRNA from 1 species